UCCCUAUUCAGUUUCCACUUUCCAGUCUCCAGUCCUUCUCCCAUCUCCUUCUUUCUCCCGAAACCAAAACAGAAACCCUAGCCUCAUCGCCAACCGUGGAAAGCCGCAAGGAGUGAGUCACCGCCGCCGUCCGUCGCAGUCAGGGGAAGCACAGAAGCCUCUCCUCCCAACCCCUAGAUCCCCUUCACCAGUUCUCCCAGCCCUAGCCUCACUGCCAUAUCACCUCCGCCGUCUCAACUACUUGAAGCUGCCGUCCCUACUGCAUCUCGUCUCGCGUGCUUCCUCCGUUGCGCAGCCGCUGUUCCGCUGCGCCGGCUCUGCUCCUCUGCUCUAGUUCCGCCGCGCACCACCCUCCUGGGCUCCAGUUCCGUGGUGGUCCAGGCCACCUCUUCUCCAGUUCCGCGGUGGUCCAGGCCACCUCUUCUCUAGUUCUGCCGCGUCCAACCUUCCGUCGUGCUCCCUCACCUCUGUGCUCUAGAAGAGAAGAUCUAUUAUAUGCUUAUGAAUGGCGUGGUUGAAGCUUGGAAAGAAGAGAAUUUAUAUGAAUAUUUCUAGAGCUUUGAAUACAUCUUCAUUUAGGCGUGUGGCAGGGUCAAGCAGUGGACCUAUUCAACUUUUAUGUGCAUAACAUCCUUGACCAGUAGCCAUUCAUAGCCCCGAAAGCAAUGACAUUGUUUUGGAAUUUUUUUUCGUUUAGGUUGGUUUAUGUUUCUAACAUUCUUUAGUACGUUUUCACAUGUAAUUCAUGGUUAAACCUAAUGCUUAGUUGCAAAACCUCAUUAUUUGUGCUAAAUUCUGGUAUGAGGGACGAGGUGGAAUGUUGAAUGCGUUCCAUUAUUAACAAUCUAUUAUAACAA